UCAGUGAGAACUCAAUGUAUCAUAGUAUACAUGUCUGCGGAAGUUAAUCGUGUUAAUCACUUGCAACAUACAAAGAUUACCGGACAGCCUCGCCUUGGUUCCAUGACGCUUUCCACAGAUAAACUUUGCCAGGCUGAAAUUUCUAGCAAGGAAUACAAUGAUAUUAUACUACUCCCAAUGGCGUCCGAGAACUGACUUGUUGGGAUAAGCAGCGUAAUAUUCCGAAUUGGAUUUAACAAAAGUUCAACGAAUAGUCCAAAUUGUAUCCUUCGAUCGUUGAACAUUACAAACUGUUAGUCAAUAGCCACACGGAUCAAAUGUAGACAAUUUUAAGUUUCGAACCUCAGCACGUUCCCGGAGUGUUUCUACGGAUAAGUCGAUUUAAUCGUCAAAGUAACAGAACUCAACAAUGGAUUUCGAACGCUCAACAAAUCUGUCCAAAGACGCCUUAGAAGAGGCAUUGACCACAAGCCUCAUACUGCCUACUCCUAGUUAACGGCUCCUUCAAUAAAAACGUGACAUGCAUUAAGGUCGUAUGAACAACAGUUAAGAGUGGAAAUGAACCAAGCAUGUGUAUCAACGUAUGAAGAAACAUUUCUCAAGUUAGUGGAUAAGGUGUCUGAAGGCUAUUUAGCUUACGACUCUAUAGCAAGCAAAAAUCCACAGGAGAACUAGGAGGCGUACGUCUAACUUUGUGAAAGGUUGGCGGACGUCUGCCAAUGCCGCUGGCGAGCAAUUGUCCCUGUGUUAUUAAGUCAAUUUCGAUGCGGUGCUUAUGUAAAGCAUUUAAGGCAGUGCGGCAUUGACGCAAAAAACACGGCGCAAAAAUGGCCUCCGGAGACAAGGGAGCUCGCUGCGGACUUUUCGGAUUUUAUCCUCGUUUUUUACAGGCAAGAUUUGAUCUUUACACGCAUUAAGCAUUGUAGAAAGCUU